GGGGAUAUAGCUCAGUGAUAGAGCACUUGCUUAGCAUGUGCAAGGGCUUGGGUUCAAUCCCUAACACCA
rnacentral:tRNA from 1 species